UACGUAGGUGGCAAGCGUUGUCCGGAUUUACUGGGCGUAAAGCGUGCGCAGGCGGUUUUGUAAGUCUGUCGUGAAAGCCCCGGGCUCAACCUGGGAAUUGCGAUGGAGACUGCAAGGCUUGAAUCUGGCAGAGGGGGGUAGAAUUCCACGUGUAGCAGUGAAAUGCGUAGAGAUGUGGAGGAACACCGAUGGCGAAGGCAGCCCCCUGGGCCAACACUGACGCUCAGGCACGAAAGCGUGGGGAGCAAACAGG
rnacentral:rRNA from 1 species